GGGGGCAUAGCUCAAGUGGUAGAGCGCGUGCCUCGCAUGCAGAAGGUCCUGGGUUCAAUCCCCAGUACCUCCU